AUACGUAGGUGACAAGCGUUAUCCGGAUUUACUGGGCGUAAAGGGCGUGUAGGCGGUCUUGCAAGUCAGAAGUGAAAUUCCUGAGCUCAACUCGGGCGCUGCUUCUGAAACUGCAGGACUUGAGUGCUGGAGGGGAUAGCGGAAUUCCUAGUGGAGCGGUAAAAUGCGCAGAUAUUAGGAAGAACACCGGUGGCGAAGGCGGCUAUCUGGACAGUAACUGACGCUGAGGCGCGAAAGCGUGGGGAGCAAACAGGAUUAGAUGCCCUGGUAGUCCACGCCGUAAACGAUGAAUACUAGGUGUAGGGGGUAUCGACUCCCUCUGUGCCGCAGUUAACACAAUAAGUAGUCCGCCUGGGGAGUACGGCCGCAAGGUUGAAACUCAAAUGAAUGGACGGGG
rnacentral:rRNA from 1 species